AGUCGAACGGCAGCACGGGGGCAACCCUGGUGGCGAGUGGCGAACGGGUGAGUAAUACAUCGGAACGUGUCCUGUAGUGGGGGAUAGCCCGGCGAAAGCCGGAUUAAUACCGCAUACGCUCUGCGGAGGAAAGCGGGGGAUCCUUCGGGACCUCGCGCUACAGGGGCGGCCGAUGGCAGAUUAGCUAGUUGGUGGGGUAAAGGCCUACCAAGGCGACGAUCUGUAGCUGGUCUGAGAGGACGACCAGCCACACUGGGACUGAGACACGGCCCAGACUCCUACGGGAGGCAGCAGUGGGGAAUUUUGGACAAUGGGCGAAAGCCUGAUCCAGCAAUGCCGCGUGUGUGAAGAAGGCCUUCGGGUUGUAAAGCACUUUUGUCCGGAAAGAAAACCUCCGCCCUAAUAUGGUGGGGGGAUGACGGUACCGGAAGAAUAAGCACCGGCUAACUACGUGCCAGCAGCCGCGGUAAUACGUAGGGUGCAAGCGUUAAUCGGAAUUACUGGGCGUAAAGCGUGCGCAGGCGGUCCGCUAAGACAGAUGUGAAAUCCCCGGGCUUAACCUGGGAACUGCAUUUGUGACUGGCGGGCUAGAGUAUGGCAGAGGGGGGUAGAAUUCCACGUGUAGCAGUGAAAUGCGUAGAGAUGUGGAGGAAUACCGAUGGCGAAGGCAGCCCCCUGGGCCAAUACUGACGCUCAUGCACGAAAGCGUGGGGAGCAAACAGGAUUAGAUACCCUGGUAGUCCACGCCCUAAACGAUGUCAACUAGUUGUCGGGUCUUCAUUGACUUGGUAACGUAGCUAACGCGUGAAGUUGACCGCCUGGGGAGUACGGUCGCAAGAUUAAAACUCAAAGGAAUUGACGGGGACCCGCACAAGCGGUGGAUGAUGUGGAUUAAUUCGAUGCAACGCGAAAAACCUUACCUACCCUUGACAUGUAUGGAAUCCUGCUGAGAGGUGGGAGUGCCCGAAAGGGAGCCAUAACACAGGUGCUGCAUGGCUGUCGUCAGCUC
rnacentral:rRNA from 1 species